CAGGAGGGAGAUUUCAUCCAUGCAGCUGGCUGAAAAGCUCCACCAGUCUUCUGAUCAGUUUAAGACACAUCCGCAGGAGAGAAAACUAGAAUUGAGCAGAAGCCACAAAGUGGUAACCCAGAGCAUGGCCUGGGAUCUACUUCAAUUGUUUCAAGAAGCCCAAAGCUAUCCAGCAUGAUGAAAUCAUGUGUAAACUGUUUGAGAAGUGGUUAACAAGUAUCUACAAGCCAAGGUUCCCCAGCGGCCAGGAGCACCGAGGCCAG